GCGGUCUUCCUGAGCGAAAGCUGGUGAAAUGGGGUGCUGGGGUGCUAUCUGCCGACAUUUCAGCUCCUUUCGCCGCUGCUGAGAAAGUUGAAGGCUUCGAAUUAAAUGAGUAGCAGCUCACCUAGUUCCUCCACACUGUUAGCGGGCAUGCCCGUGCUGGGUAAGCAGACCCACCUUCACGGAGCCGAAAGUGGACCCAGGAAUUCCAAGCGGUGUACUGCAAGCCACAUCUCUGAUUCUAGCCCGUCUGCUCCCGGAGACCCGCUUUCCUACAUCUAGAAAAAACAGGGGUCUGUGGCGAGCCAAAGACGCCCCCUGCCUCAAGGACCCAGCGUUACUGAGACUAGCUAGCACUGCAAGGAAAAAAUAUGAGAAGCUGGAGGGGACAGCAUCGCUGUGGCUACAGAGUGGGCGUGUGUCUGGGUCAGAGUAUGGUUCACCCUACUCCAGGGCGGGAAGGACGGUCAGUCUAAAGAAAGUCAGCUUUUGAUUUCAAAGACCACAGGCUAGAGGGAAGGCGCGCCACCACGAACAGCCUGGAUGCAUCAGCUGCCCUGGAAUUCAUUAUGUAGCUCACCCACAGUGAUCCUCCUGCUUCAGCCUCCCACAUGCUAGGAUAACAGGCCAGCCCAGAGGCAAAGAAACAGCUCCUUUUGAAACCUAUUUCAACAAGUCCCUGAGGCGUAUCGACCUUUAACCGCCAGGAAUCCUUCUGUGGUCGUGCUUGAGGUGUGCCAAGAGGGACCAGAGCAAAGAAUACCAUAAACCAACAGACUUUGCAAAUACAGUGGAAGGUACACCAAUAGGCAGAUUACAGUAAAGCAGUGGGAACUCUGCUGUAGACCCUGAUGCUACCUGGCCAUACUCUUAGCAUUUUGGUUAUAAGCUGGGGAAUCUGUACACAUUAAAGUAUUUAACUAAUAGAAGAAUAUGGCCACAUACAAGGGAGGGGAGUAAAUGACCACGGAGGGGACUCAAGGUAACCCCAAAUUACUGGGCUUUGAACUUCCAACCUCUCCACAUCACUGAUGCUCUGAUCCUCCAGCUAGCCAUUGUAGUCUCUUCUUCUUUCCUGGAAAUUUCCUUUAAAGUUCCAAGAUCCCCAGUGGAUGCAGGAAAUAGCAGACGUUGCCAAACACUCUAGAACCAAUGUUUUGUUUUGCUGAACUAGGUGUGGUGGGAAGGGAGGGGAAGGAAAAGACAGGAGAGAGGACAGAUAGAGGAAGCAGGAGGAGAAAUGAAUGGAUGAGGCCUUGAGCAUCUUCCUGAACAGAUUGUGGGUUCAUUUUUAUUUGCAUGUAUUUAAGGGGGAACAUGCUGGAGGUCAGAGGACAACUUG
rnacentral:lncRNA from 1 species